AUUGAACGCUGGCGGCAGGCCUAACACAUGCAAGUCGAGCGGAGCGGCGGACGGGUGAGUAAUGCCUAGGAAUCUGCCUGGUAGUGGGGGAUAACGUCCGGAAACGGGCGCUAAUACCGCAUACUAUCAGAUGAGCCUAGGUCGGAUUAGCUAGUAGGUGGGGUAAUGGCUCACCUAGGCGACGAUCCGUAUCUGGUCUGAGAGGAUGAGCAGCCACAUGGGAACUGAGACACGGUCCAGACUCCUACGGGAGGCAGCAGUGGGGAAUAUUGGACAAUGGGCGCAAGCCUGAUGCAGCCAUGCCGCGUGUGUGAAGAUGGUCUUCGGGUUGUAAAGCACUUUCAGUGAGGAGGCGUUACUAGCAGAAGAAGCACCGGCUAACUCCGUGCCAGCAGCCGCGGUAAUUC
rnacentral:rRNA from 1 species